CUCAAAUUGGGUUUUAAGAUAGAAGCAUUUGUAGUCUUUUUUUUUUUUUUUUUCAAAAUUAGUUUAGCUCUAAAUUCUGAAGUUGGAUAUAAUAUUUUGUUUUUAAAUUUACUGGACUUGUGUGUAAAAUAAGAUUCUUCUCUCUAAACUCUAAGUUCUAGAGUUAACAAUGAAACCAAACGGGUAAACCCAGGUGGAUCGGCACUUUUGCCCUUAACAGCCCUUUUGACCGGCAAAACACAAUGCAAAUGCCGAAAAAAGGAUGAUUUCAAGAGAUUAUUCGAUCCGUCGCUCUGACGAAUGAGUUUCCCAAGUGGUCUCCUACUCGUCCUUAGUGUCGAAUUGACUCUGCCGGAUUAAGUUGCUGGGGAUUUCUUAUUGAAGGAGAAGUUGAGGUUGUUCUCGUUAUUGCUGGAGACGGUGUUUAAUUAUUUGUAUUAUUAUGGGUACAGAGUGAAGGCAAAUCUGGGGAGUUUAGCUGCACUAAUGUAUACCAAGAGCCAAGAGGUUUUACAUUCAAAUUCUUCAUCCCCAUUUACACUAAAAAUAAAUUCGAAAUUAUAGAUGUCAAAAUAAGUUUAGUUUAGUAAUCUUGGUUUCUUUCCCUAAAGGUGAAAUUAAAAGACCUUUUCGGUGAGAUUCAAUCCCUACUGCAAGUAUACUGAGAAAAACUUUAAAUUUUAGUUGGGUGAAAUUAUAGAGAAUACCAAAACAAAAUAAAAACCCUUUUGGGUAAAUAAAGAAAACCCUAGAAGAUAAAGAAAA